GUAGGUGGCAAGCGUUGUCCGGAAUUAUUGGGCGUAAAGCGCGCGCAGGCGGUUCUUUAAGUCUGAUGUGAAAGCCCACGGCUCAACCGUGGAGGGUCAUUGGAAACUGGAGAACUUGAGUACAGAAGAGGAAAGCGGAAUUCCACGUGUAGCGGUGAAAUGCGUAGAGAUGUGGAGGAACACCAGUGGCGAAGGCGGCUUUCUGGUCUGUAACUGACGCUGAGGCGCGAAAGCGUGGGGGAGCAAACAGGAUUAGAUACCCUGGUAGUCCACGCCGUAAACGAUGAGUGCUAAGUGUUAGGGGGUUUCCCGCCCCUUAGUGCUGCAGCUAACGCAUUAAGCACUCCGCCUGGGGAGUACGGCCGCAAGGCUG
rnacentral:rRNA from 1 species